UCUAUAUUGCUAAUCCGGAAGUUGCAAGUUUUGUAAUUUUUUUUUGAAGAUGCAUCCUGACUUGUCUGCUCAUUUGCACACAGAUGAAUGCAACACUUUAAUAAAAGUUUUUACCAGUUGCCAAGAGCAGCAUGGGUUCCUCAGAUUCCUUGGAUAUUGUGAUCCCUUGUUCACUGAUGUACAGAAAUGUUUACGGAGGGAGAGAAUAAAUCAGAGAAAAGAGGACAGAGAAAGUAACAGACAGAGAAUGAAAGCAUUAAGGGAGAGACAAGCAAAAGGAUUAGCAGAACCAUAUAAAGAAGUGUGAAUGAAUGAAAGAAAGUGAAUGAAUGGAUGAAUGAAUGAAUGAAUGUUUCAGUGGGGAAUUCUUUUACUCACAAAAUAUAAUCAUGUCAAUGCUACAGCCUUGAACAUUUACCUUGAAAGACAUAAAAAAAUCCAUCGAUCCCAAAUCUAAAUUUUAUGCAACCAGUUGUAUAGAUUUGUUCAUAAGAAGAAGUUGUAUAAUGUUAUGAAAUGUACUUUACAGAGUUGUUCACUGUGUCAAGGCGUUAAAACUUUUAUUGAAAAAUUCCAAGCAGCUUAUAUUGUAAGUGUCAGUCAUGUAGAUGUUCCUUUUGUAUAGAUUUUUUUAUGUACCAUAAAGUAUUGUUAUUUAUAAGAACACAACAUUUUGGCACUAAUGAUUUUGUUUUAUUUUGGUUACAUGUAUUUCGUAGGGCAUGUAGCUCUACCAUAACAAACUCUGCCCUAUUGUUUCUUGCAUAAAUUUAAUUGAGCAGAGAAGUAAGAGAACUAAUUGCAUCAUCCGUGAACUGAGAGCGAUUUUGGGUGUUGAGAGCAGCGCGGACAACCUGAUCCAGCGUGCGUAAUCGCUGGGCUAUGGGACGAUCACUCUCCGAGUUCAGCUCCUCUACAAGCUGACUGAUUCUGAAAGCUUUGCAUUGAUUGGUUGCUGCAGGCUGUCUUCUGCGCCGCGCCGGGAGUGCAGUAGCAGACGACUCCGACUGUUCUUCUGGUUUUUGAAUUUCGAGACUUCUCUCAGAUUUUACAUCCAAGUCCCCUUGGUCCAAAUUGCGGACACUCUCUUCAUCCUCCAAAAUAAUCUUGCUUUUCUUCUUCAUGUCGUGCCUGGAAUACCUGUGUUCGCCAUGAGUAGCAUCUUCUGCUUGUAAGCGGUGUAUGCGAUUGACGCUAUUGCGUUGUGAUCGCCGUGAAUUAUGGUGCCGCCGGGCGCUGUGCCCCACCGUAUUCGCUGGCAUUGUGGCUGGUUUUGUUCCCACUCUAUUAGAAAACAUGUAACGAAUCCCUCCCAUCACCGUGAAAUUUAUUCGGAAAGGUUCAUCUUCUGCAAAAGAAAAUGUAAGACAUUAUCGCAUGUCUAUAAACGAAAUACUACGUCAAUAAAAUAGAUGACAGGUCAUUAGUAGUUCGAAAAAUUGGACACGAUACUACCGUGAAGAUUGACGGCCAUCAUUUGACACUGGGACUCCCUAACAUGGAGGUAGUCUGGGCCGCUUAAGUCUUUGUGAGGAGUACAGGACACCCAGGGAACUGUUAAUUUUUCCUUCAGACGGAAAUAAAAGUCCUUCGGGUCAUGACCUUUCAACCAUUCAUCACGAAACCUAAACAAGUUUCAAAGGCCAAGUUGUACAUGAUGCAUUUAAUUGAUAGCGCUGAUUAGUGUGUAAGCACAUAUGUUUUAAAGGAAUAAUUUUAAAGAGAACCUUUUCCAGAAGAAGUAGAUAAUGGGGAAUAUCAGUAUCAUGGCGUCGUGAAACAGCCCCCGUGUCGGCCCGGAAUGUGUGAGGGAUACCGCUAUACUGGUGGCCAAGUCACUCGGGAUGUUAACCUGAAGAAAGCGAUUAAUUGUCGCUAAGUGUGUGACACCAAAUUUUUAAGAAUACUUAUAACGACUUACCUUCGCAGGCUGCUGAAUUAUACUAAAACGCGUAAAUAUGACUUAUAACCAUUAAAACUAAAUGCUAAAAAA
rnacentral:misc_RNA from 1 species